rnacentral:rRNA from 1 species
AGUGAACGCUGGCGGUAGGCCUAACACAUGCAAGUCGAACGGCAGCACAGGAGAGCUUGCUCUCUGGGUGGCGAGUGGCGGACGGGUGAGGAAUACAUCGGAAUCUACUUUUUCGUGGGGAUAACGUAGGGAAACUUACGCUAAUACCGCAUACGACCUACGGGUGAAAGCAGGGGAUCUUCGGACCUUGCGCGAUUGAAUGAGCCGAUGUCGGAUUAGCUAGUUGGCGGGGUAAAGGCCCACCAAGGCGACGAUCCGUAGCUGGUCUGAGAGGAUGAUCAGCCACACUGGAACUGAGACACGGUACAGACUCCUACGGGAGGCAGCAGUGGGGAAUAUUGGACAAUGGGCGCAAGCCUGAUCCAGCCAUACCGCGUGGGUGAAGAAGGCCUUCGGGUUGUAAAGCCCUUUUGUUGGGAAAGAAAUCCAGCUGGCUAAUACCCGGUUGGGAUGACGGUACCCAAAGAAUAAGCACCGGCUAACUUCGUGCCAGCCGCCGCAGUAA